GUUUUCAGUGAGAUACCACUCUUUUGUUCAUAACAGGGCAUUCUGAGAUUCUGCUAGUGCAAACUUCGUUUGGUGACUUUAAGCUUUUAGAGACUCCUUCUCUCAAUAUUUUUUGAUACACUCCUCCUUAGACAUGGCUUCUAGUAAGGGUGAAGGUUUGAGAGUGAUUGAGAAGUUUAGAGGCAACAAUUUCUACCAUUGGAAGGUCAAAAUGGAGCUUUUGUUGGCGUCUUUGGACCUUUGGGACAUUGUAGAUGAGAGUGAAGACCCUUCAAGCAUAGAUGC
rnacentral:lncRNA from 1 species